rnacentral:rRNA from 1 species
CCUACGGGUGGCAGCAGUCGAGAAUCAUUCACAAUGGGGGAAACCCUGAUGGUGCGACGCCGCGUGGGGGAAUGAAGGUCUUCGGAUUGUAAACCCCUGUCAUGUGGGAGCAAAUUAAAAAGAUAGUACCACAAGAGGAAGAGACGGCUAACUCUGUGCCAGCAGCCGCGGUAAUACAGAGGUCUCAAGCGUUGUUCGGAAUCACUGGGCGUAAGGCGUGAGUAGGCUGUUUCGUAAGUCGUGUGUGAAAGGCGCGGGCUCAACCCGCGGACGGCACAUGAUACUGGGAGACUAGAGUAAUGGAGGGGGAACCGGAAUUCUCGGUGUAGCAGUGAAAUGCGUAGAUAUCGAGAGGAACACUCGUGGCGAAGGCGGGUUCCUGGACAUUAACUGACGCUGAGGCACGAAGGCCAGGGGAGCGAAAGGGAUUAGAUACCCGAGUAGUC